rnacentral:rRNA from 1 species
UCCGGCGAUUUUGCUGAAGGGGCAACACCCGUUCCCAUUCCGAAUACGGCAGUUAAGCCCUUCAAGGUCGAUGGUACUUGUCUCGCAAGGGACUGGGAGAGUAGAACAUCGCCGGAU